CCUUCCUGCCAUUCUCAUCCACAUUUCUACUGCUUUUGAUAGCCGAGUUCAUACUUGUGUAUGGUCAAGGUUAAAAAUGUUUAUGUUCUUUUAUUUUUCCCAGGGGAAGUUUUCAAUAUGUGCUUCAAUGUAUGUUAAAAAAUAAUUCUAACAUCACGUGGCAGUGUACAUGUUGGUUAUUAUUGUGCUGAAUGAAGUCCCUCAAUUCCAUUUACUUCUAGAAGACUCGGGUCCAUGGGAAUUCAAAAGAAGAUCACUCUAGAAGAAGAUUUGCUGUUCAGGCCAUCUAUACACAACCACUCUCCAUCUACUUCAGGGUCUGCCUCAGUUGAGCAGAGCAACCUGUCCACAGAGAAGAAGCUCAUGGAGCUGGUGACUAAACAGAUUCUAAUGAAGAACAACACUGAGAAAACCAAAAGACAUCAUGAUUGACAUGGACAAGACAUAGAUGGGCUAGGGAGAUGGCUCCAUGAGCAAAGUCUUCCAUACAACCAUGAGGACCUGAGUUUGGAUCCCCAGCAUCUACUUCAAACAUUUGGCACGGUAGGACACACUUGUCUGGGACGUGGAGACAGACAGCUUCCUGGGCUUACUACAGCUCAGGUCCUAGUAAGAGACCCUG
rnacentral:lncRNA from 1 species